AGAGUUUGAUCAUGGCUCAGAGCGAACGCUGGCGGCAGGCCUAACACAUGCAAGUCGAGCGCCGUAGCAAUACGGAGCGGCAGACGGGAGAGUAACACGUGGGAACGUGCCCUUCAGUUCGGAACAACCCAGGGAAACUUGGGCUAAUACCGGAUACGUCCGUAAGGAGAAAGAUUUAUCGCUGAAGGAUCGGCCCGCGUCUGAUUAGCUAGUUGGUGGGGUAACGGCUCACCAAGGCGACGAUCAGUAGCUGGUCUGAGAGGAUGAUCAGCCUCACUGGGACUGAGACACGGCCCAGACUCCUACGGGAGGCAGCAGUGGGGAAUAUUGGACAAUGGGCGCAAGCCUGAUCCAGCCAUGCCGCGUGGAUGAUGAAGGCCCUAGGGUUGUAAAGUCCUUUCGGCGGGGAAGAUAAUGACGGUACCCGCAGAAGAAGCCCCGGCUAACUUCGUGCCAGCAGCCGCGGUAAUACGAAGGGGGCUAGCGUUGCUCGGAAUCACUGGGCGUAAAGCGCACGUAGGCGGCUUUUUAAGUCAGGGGUGAAAUCCUGGAGCUCAACUCCAGAACUGCCUUUGAUACUGAGAAGCUUGAGUCCGGGAGAGGUGAGUGGAACUGCGAGUGUAGAGGUGAAAUUCGUAGAUAUUCGCAAGAACACCAGUGGCGAAGGCGGCUCACUGGCCCGGUACUGACGCUGAGAUGCGAAAGCGUGGGGAGCAAACAGGAUUAGAUACCCUAGUAGUCC
rnacentral:rRNA from 1 species